UACGAAGGGGGCUAGCGUUGCUCGGAAUCACUGGGCGUAAAGCGCACGUAGGCGGACUCUUAAGUCGGGGGUGAAAUCCUGGAGCUCAACUCCAGAACUGCCUUCGAUACUGGGAGUCUUGAGUUCGGGAGAGGUGAGUGGAACUGCGAGUGUAGAGGUGAAAUUCGUAGAUAUUCGCAAGAACACCAGUGGCGAAGGCGGCUCACUGGCCCGAUACUGACGCUGAGGUGCGAAAGCGUGGGGAUCAAACAGG
rnacentral:rRNA from 1 species